GAAAUGUAUAAAAGUAAUCAAAAAGUAAUCAAAAGUAAUCAGUUACAUUACUUUAAUAAAGUAAUUGAAAAAGUUACACUACUAUUACAUUUUAAAUAGGGUAACUUGUAAUCUGUAACCUAUUACAUUUCCAAAGUAACCUUCCCAACACUGUUUAUAACCCAUUAUGUAAUAAGUAAAUGCAAUGCUGGUAGGAGGAAUGAAGAAAAAAAUUCCCAAAACAAUGCUCGGAUGUGAUGAAAUAAUCCUCUUGACCCCCCUGAUAUUUCAGGUAUUUCAUCAGUAAUACCUAAGUAAACGUAAAACUACAAGUUGGUGCCUGCAGUCACACUGUAUAAAGUUCUUGUCACUCCUCCCCUACAACCUACAUCUCAGCUCCCAUUUGCUGGCUACUUUCAUCGGCACAUAAAAGACUGAACCAGAGUACAGUAUUACAUACGUUGCUGCAGAUCACAAGGCAAAGGAAAUUACAAUCAAAAUCCAAUAAACCGAAGAAUGGAUCCCAGCCAGUUUUCCAAUCAGCCUCCAGACGCCUACAAUUCAUCUGAGAAAUCAGGGUUGCCUGCAGCAGCACCACCAGCAUACCAGCAUAAUCCUGCUGGAUAUCCUCCUUCCUUUCCAAACCAGCCGAUCCCCCAGGGCCCCUACACCCAGGGGCCAUAUCCAGGACAGCCUGUGGUCACUGUGCAGCCUGCAGUUUUUGUGACCGCCGCUCCACUGGCUGAUCCAGUGCCAGAUUACCUGGGUUACUCCAUCUUUACCAUGCUGUGCUGCUGCUUACCUCUGGGCAUUGCUGCACUGAUUUACUCCAUCUCUACACGAGAUGCCAACUACUCAGGACAGCGAGAAUUAGCAGAGAAGAACUCCAAAAUGGCACGCACCCUGAAUCACAUCGGCCUUGGUAUUGGCCUCGUUGUCAUUGUAUUGAUCAUUAUCAUCCAGAUUGUGAUUUGGUCUACUAGAUAAAAGCUGUUAGAGCUGACAUGGUUGGAUGCAGAUUACAAACAGAUUUGUUUUUCUGUAUUUUAAAUGUUACUUGCUCAAUCUAUCAUUACUCUAAUAUGCAUUAAGGCUGAUUGUUGUAUGUUUAAACCAAUGAAAGCAACCACACAGUUUUCUGUUGUCUUUACUUCUGUAAUGUUUUGUUCAGAUGUUUUGCUUAUGUUACAUAUCUUAUGUGCAGCUGUGCUAAUUUUAUAUAUAUAUAAAUAAAACAUAGCAUAUAUAUGUAUUUAGGUACACAUGUACACAAAUCUGUAUGUCUUUCUAUCUAUCUUUUUUGUUGUUGUUGUUGUUAUUUACCACCACAUUUAUCAUGCAGGAAGUGGUACGUCUGGCUUUUAAUAUGAGAGGAUUGUACAACCCACAUACAUACAGUAUGUGUGUAAUGUGUCUUCAAGAUUGAAUAUCGUUAAAGAAACACCCAAACAAUAUACCAAUGUGAGGAUAAAUUAAUAAACAAAUAAAUGAC
rnacentral:lncRNA from 1 species